rnacentral:rRNA from 1 species
UACAGAGGUCUCAAGCGUUGUUCGGAUUCAUUGGGCGUAGAGGGUGCGUAGGUGGCGCUGUAAGUCGGGUGUGAAAUUUCGGAGCUUAACUCCGAAACUGCAUUCGAUACUGCGGUGCUUGAGGACUGGAGAGGAGACUGGAAUUCAUGGUGUAGCAGUGAAAUGCGUAGAGAUCAUGAGGAAGACCAGUGGCGAAGGCGGGUCUCUGGACAGUUCCUGACACUGAGGCACGAAGGCCAGGGGAGCAAACGGG